AAAAUUAAUCGGUUCCUUAGUGUACAAUAGAGUUUUUAGCACCCAAUACACCGACUCUCUAUUAUUUUUCCUCCAACAUAAAUUUCCCAAUGUCCCAAGCUUCAGAUCCCUUUCAAAGUUUUUCCACCUAUAAUAUCCAACUCGAACAUCACCUAUCACAAAUAGAUCACCCCAAUAGCACAGAACCUAGCACAAAAUUUGCCAGUCCAAACCCACCGAGCCAAACAGCGACUGAAAAAAAAACUAAUUACACACUCCACCGUAGAAACCAAAAAAGAAAACACCCCUACAAAUUGUAAAGCUUCAUACAAACCAAAAAAUAACCAAUUCCAGAAUCACAAAAUUUAGGAUAAUGAAAGAUGAAAAGAUCAAACAAACUGGACGUAAAGAAAAGAAAACAUAAAUGUAGAGUAAAAAAAUAAACCUGCGAUAAUAACCUAAACAACUAUAUUGAAAAGAACCUAAAUCAUGCAUGGGAAAACCGAAAUAAAAGCAACACAAUUAUAAAACUUAAAAUACCCCUUUAAAUAGACCCUUCAAAUACAAGAGAAAUGAAGUAAAAAACCUAAAGAUGCAAGAAACAAGAUACAGCGAUAUCAAAGAAAAUAAAAAAAUAAAAAUAAAGGCGAACUAAAAGAAAACAAGAAGAAGACUGACACCACCUAGAGUCAUUAUCCAAGAUCGAGCAAUACACAACGAUCGUAAUCGUGGAUUCAACCACCCCCACUAAUCAACUCUAUGUACCCGCAGCCAGCCCAAACACUGCACAAUCAUUGAUACCAGAAUAUUUGCCCGAG
rnacentral:lncRNA from 1 species